CCUACGGGAGGCAGCAGUGGGGAAUCUUGUGCAAUGGACGAAAGUCUGACACAGCCACGCCGCGUGCGGGAAGAAGGCCUUCGGGUUGUAAACCGCUUUCAGCAGGAACGAAAAUGACGGUACCUGCAGAAGAAGAUGCGGCCAACUACGUGCCAGCAGCCGCGGUGAUACGUAGGCAUCAAGCGUUGUCCGGAUUUAUUGGGCGUAAAGAGCUCGUAGGCGGUUCAGCAAGUCGGGUGUGAAAACUCUGGGCUUAACCCAGAGCCUGCACUCGAAACUGCUGUGACUAGAGUUCGGUAGGGGAGCAGGGAAUUCCUAGUGUAGCGGUGAAAUGCGCAGAUAUUAGGAGGAACACCAAUGGCGAAGGCACUGCUCUGGGCCGAUACUGACGCUGAGGAGCGAGAGCGUGGGUAGCAAACAGGAUUAGAUACCCUGGUAGUCCACGCCGUAAACGAUGGGCACUAGGUGUGGGUCUCUAACCAACGAGAUCUGCGCCGUCGCUAACGCAUUAAGUGCCCCGCCUGGGGAGUACGGUCGCAAGACUAAAACUCAAAUGAAUUGACGG
rnacentral:rRNA from 1 species